rnacentral:rRNA from 1 species
UACAGAGGUCUCAAGCGUUGUUCGGAUUCAUUGGGUGUAAAGGGUGCGUAGGCGGCGCGGUAAGUCGGGUGUGAAAUCUCGGAGCUUAACUCCGAAACUGCAUUCGAUACUGCCGUGCUUGAGGACUUGGAGAGGAGACUGGAAUUUACGGUGUAGCGGUGAAAUGCGUAGAUAUCGUAAGGAAGACCAGUGGCGAAGGCGGGUCUCUGGACAGUUC